rnacentral:lncRNA from 1 species
CUCCCUCCUCCUUCCUUCUUUCCUCUUCCUUCCUCUUCUUUUCCUUCCUUCUUCCUUCCCUCCCUCCCUCCUUCCUUCCUUCCUCUUCCUUCCUCUUCUUUCCUUCCUUCCUUCUUCCCUCCCUCCCUCCUUCCCUCCUUCCUCUUCCUUCCUCUUCUUUCCUUCCUUCCUUCCUUCCUUCCCUCCCUCCCUCUUCCUUCCUCUUCCUUUCUUCCUUUCUUCCCUCCCUCCCUCCUUCCCUCCUUCCUUCCUCUUCCUUCCUCUGCUUUUCUUCCUUCCUUCCCUCCCUCCCUCCUUCCCCUUCCUUCCUUCUUUGCUUCCUUCCUUCUUCUUCUUUCCUUCCUUCCUUCCCUCCCUCCUUCCCUCCUUCCUUCUUUCCUUCCCUCCCUCCCUCCUUCCCUCCUUCCUUCCUUCUCUUCCUUCCUCUUCUUUCCUUCCUUCCUUCCCUCCCUCCCUCCUUCCUCUUCUUCCUUUCCUUUCCUUCCUUUCUUCCCUCCCCUCCUUCCUCCUUCUUCCUUCCUUCCUUCCUCUGCUUUUCUUCCUUCCUUCCUUCCCUCCCUCCCUCCUUCCCCCUUCCUUCCUUCUUUGCUUCCUUCCUUCCUUCCUCUUCUUUCCUUCCCUCCCUCCCUCCUUCCUUCCUUCCUCUUCUUUCCUUCCUUCCUUCCCUCCCCCUCCCUCCUUCCCUCCUUCCCUCCUUCCUUCCUUCCUUCCUUCUCUUCCUUCCUCUUCUUUCCUUCCUUCCUUCCUUUUCCUUCCUCCAGGGUGGAUUCACGGUGAGACAUGGAGACAGUUUAAGAGAAAUGGAGGCAUGAGGGAGCCAUUCACUAAGAAGAAAAAUGCAGAAGAGGGAGAGUUUGGGAAGGGGAAGCAAUCAUGGAGUUAUUUAUAAAUGAGGGAAACUAGAAAGCAGAAUUGGAAUGUAUGUAUUGAGCAGGAGCUACAUAUAAGAAAUUGCAGGAAAUAAUGUGAGAGUUAUAAAAUUGAUCAGUGGCAGCAUAUUUCAGAGAGCACCAGCAAAAGUAUGUUUCCUGAAGGUGAGUGGCUCGCUGUGAAUUGUGAAAUUAUAUCCCCCUUUUUUUGCAUUAAUAGAGUGGGAACUGGUCUGAGCAGUACUGAUGACAAGUCUGCCCCCGUCCCUAUCCAAAGCCAUUUGGAUGAAGAGAACACAGGUGAGAAUGUUAUACAAAAACUCUCCCAGAGGAGACAUGUUAGCAACAAGCAAUUGAGAGAGAGAUCUGUCAGCAGAGAAAAGAAAAUUUGGACUUUGAAAUGUAGAAGAUACUCUGGAAUAUCUAACCCUACAGAAACCUCCCACAAAUAGUUUGUCUGGGAAAAUUUCAAUUUAUUCAGUGAUGAGUAAUACAAAAGGGACUGGAAGUGCAUUCAUAUGCCGAUACAACACAAAAUGAAGCAUAAUGCAUGCCACAGAGUAAAAACAUUGUCAUGGUGCCUGUGAUAAUAUGGACAAAUACCUCAGCAUAUAUUGAGGAAAACAACCUCAUUAAACAAUAGCCUCCAUCGCAUUAGACUAGAAACACAAAUAGAGAACUCAGGUAAGAGAUGUCAAGAAAGAUGUGGGCUGAGUUGUGAUCUGUCUUACCUAAGGAAAAAAAAAAGUAGAUAAUAUAAAUGUUUGAAGAAAUAUAGGGAAUAAAGACCACAAAGAAGAAUUGUUGCUAUAAAAAAUAUAGUGAGAUGGAGAAUAGAAAAGUAAAAAAUGAAAGAUAAAGACAAAAAUAGCUUAAAUUAUUAGCUAUUUAAGUUAGGUAGUAUAUGCAUAAUUGGAGUCCCUGUUGAAGAAAGCAAAAUAAGAAAAGCAAAUAAUGGAAAAAUAUAUAGAAAGGUAUAAUUUUAAAAAAUUCAUGGACAAUCACAAAAAGACAAAUAUUGUAUGAUUACACUUAUAUGAAAUAAAAGAAUCAAACGCAUAUAGAAAGUAAAAUGGUGGAUGGUGGUUGCCAGGUGCUGCGAGGAAGAGGAAAUGAAGAGUUAUUGUUUAAUGGGUAUGGAGUUUUGGUUUGGGAAGAUGACAAAUUCUUAAGACAGAUGCUACUUUUGCUUGAGCAACCAUGUGAAUGUACUUAAUGUCAUUGAGCUGUGUACUGAAAAAAGAUUAAAAUGGUAAAUUUUACGUUAUGCAUAUUUUGCCACCAAAAAAAAAGGUUCAUGAAAGAAGAAAAGACUUGACUUUUCAUAAGAAAAAGGAUCACCUUCUGGUAUAAAAAACUGACCUAGAGCAGGCCAAGACACAGUCUAUCAAAAAUGUUGGACAUUAAAUAUAAAGAGACAGGCAAUAUAUUAAGACACUUGUAAAGGGGAAAACAGAUAGGUCUAGCCUCAGAUUUCUCUACAGAAAUUGUCAACACCAGAAGUCAUUUGAGCAAUAUCUAAAAGAUACUUAAGAUAGGAAGCAUGAACCCAAGAUUUUAUAUGGAGACAAACCAUACUCAAGUACAAAGUUACAGAUCAUUGUUAUAAACAUUCAAGAAACUGAGAAUUUUAUUCCCAAGGGACCUUCUUAACACUAGAGGAAGAGACUUCAGCUCAUUAGGAAAUAUUGGUAAAAAUGUGACAAAAGAACUGGCAGAAAACUUUGAAUAUGUUUGACUGUAAAAUAAAUGUGAUGAUUAUGGUUAAGUCAGAGAAGGCAAAGGUAUAUUCUCUGACAAUAAAGAAAUAAUAAGAGAAAAAGUAGGAAAGAGAAGGUAGGAAAAACUGAAGGAAGAAUAAUUUUCUGAUUUGCUCAUCUUGGAGUCAAAGAUCAUUUACAGUUGACUAAUAAAAUACAAAUAGAGAAAAUAAAUAUUUUUAAUGGUACACAUUUAUAUUUUACCUAAUUGUCACAAUAAUGCACAAAUUCAGUAGUUAAAACCAUAACUAAUUCUCAAAAAUCUGCAGUUUGGCUGAGGCAGCUCAGCCUCAGGUGGCAAGUCUGUGGCUCCAAGUCUUCUUUAAAUGGCUGUAAUUCUUUUGGAGAUAGAGACUAGCUAAACAGGCACGAUUUUAUGCUUAUGAUAGAGGCUCAAGAGACCAAGCGGAAAUACACAAUGCUUCUUGUUUCUUAACAUUGAAAUGACCCUCACUUUUCUGAGCUCAUCUUUUUCUUGUAGUACCUUCUCAUACAUAACCAAAAGCAACCAAAGCAUGCUUCUGACAUUCUUCCUGGAACUGUCUUGCUCAACUUUCCAUUCUGCCUGGAAUUACAAGAUGAUUGGCUACAUUUUAUAAUUUUCUACUUAAAGUAAGUAAACUUUUCACUGUUGACAUUUUAUAAAUUUUUAACUUUUGAGUAUAGUGGCUUUACAAAAAAUUUAAAGAUUAAAACAUACUAUUUAGAGAGCUAGCAUGAUUUGGGGAAACAAAUUGAACCAUGAAACAGAGUAUUUGGGUUUUGGUUCAGAUUCAGUUACUAACUUGCUUAUGACUAUAGAAGAGCCACUUAAUCCCCUGAGCUUAGUUUCCUGAUCUGUAAAAAUGAUGGGGUUGGAUUAGGCAGUCUUCAAGUUUCUUCCUCCUUUAAUAUUCGGUGGGUCUAUGAUUUAAUACAGUGUUCACCAAACUGUGGCCCAGGAAAAUAGCUUUGGAGUCUAGCCAUUAUUCAACUUUUUUAUCAGCAUUUCUGUCCUCUGCUUUCCUGAAACACACAGAUAAUGAAUAACUGUUUUCCCAAUCCUAAAAUUAUAUAAUUCAAGUCCUGUAAAGGAUAAAUAUUAGGAAACUCAAUAAACAGUAUACUUUCAAAGGCAUUCAAAACAAAAUGAUGACAGAAAAAUUCCCUAAAAGACUUACACUGAGCUUUAUUAUUUAUUUAUGUGUUUUUGAGAUGGAAUCUUGCUCUGCAGCCCAGGCUGAAGUGCCGUGGCACUAUCUUGGCUCACUGCAACCUCUACCUCUGGGUUCAAGAGAUUCUCCUGCCUCAGCCUCCCAGGUAACUGGGAUUACAUGCAUGUGCCACCAUUACUGGCUAAAUUUUUUUUUGUUUUGUAUUUUUAGUAGAGACAGGGCUUCAGCAUUUUGGCCAGGCUGGUCUUGAACUCGUGACUUCCAGUGAUCUGCCUGCCUCAACCUCCCAAAGUGCUGGGAUUACAGGCGUGAGCCACCACACCUGGCCUGAACUGUCAUUUUAGACAUCAUAGAAAUAGUAAUGAAAUCAUGAACAUAUUUUAACAUAUGAAUUUAAUAUAAAUCUAUAAAAAGUAUCUUUUUAUUCAUCUAUAGAUUGCAAUAUGGAAUUUGAGUAAACCCCAGGAAAUUUUUUGUUCAUUGUAAGAUUAAGCUCAAUUAAAGCUGAGAGUGAAAUAUUUCUUCCCUCUCUGUGGUCUAGCAAUUCAUGAUUAACAUGACUUAUGUUAAUCUCACAGUUAUGUACCUACAUUCUAUGUCCUAUCUCUGCAUCUUACAGAAAGUAAAAUCCCACUUACUUUCUCAGUAACUUCCACACACACUACAGCACUGUGUACACAUAUGUGCUCUAAUAUGGUUCUAUUUUGACUGACCUGUGAUAUGAGGAAGCAGAUGAGGUGGCAGGGAAGAUACAGCCCUCUUAGAUGAUGAAGAAUUCUAAAUUAUCUUGCAUUAAUGUAAAUCAACAAAUGAAAAAAAUAGACAAAGUUGGCAAAAGUUUUCUUCAAAGUAGGCAAAAGUUCUCUUCAGUCUGUUAUGGUAGCAGCCCUUUCCAAAGUGAAUCAAUAUCCCAAGUAUGAGAACUUAUAUUUAUACAGUGAAAAUAUCUGCACAAUCAAAAAUAUAACAGUGGAAUUUUUGCUCUCCUAUCCAAGGAGGAUUUGAUACCCAACUAUUUCCCUUAAAAGGAAGGGAAGGAUGACUGUGCCUCUGUCUCAAAAUGUGGAUUGAAUGAAGCUGUGGAGAGUAAGACUGCAACAUUCAGUGAAAUCUCCAUACAUCCUCUGGACACAUGGAAUACGCGUGGCUGCUGCGGCAUUUUGGUAGUGUCUUACUACAUUUUUUCUUUCAUUAAUCUAAUUUUUGUUUUCCACAGGAACUUUCUGGAAACCGUGAUUUUUCUCAUCUAAGAAAUGAUAGAACUCUUUUAAAUCUUGCACUGCAGUCAGAAUCAGCAUUCCUUAAAUAAAUGGUCUCACAUAGUCUCAAAUCUGUAUGAUUACAUCAUCCUUGUUCCCUAUAUAUGAAAGUAUGUGUUUUGUAAUAUUUUUAAAGUCAGUAUCUCCUAUGAAGCUAUAUAAACCACUAAAAUCAGAGUGAGAGAACUGACUUUUUUUUUUUUUUCCAGCUGGAGAGGGAUCAUGUUAAUACAAACAAGAUUCAGUUAGGGCAAUAAAACUCCAUCUCACUUCUUUGUAGGUCUGAAACAGCUGCUUUAUUAUGUGGGCCAAGAGAAGUUUGGACAGCUCUACUCAGAGGAAUUCUGUCCUAAUUAUCCUCAAUCAUCAUGGAUAUCACCUUGAUUCAAAACUGGUCUUACUUCUUGAUGAAUUUUCUAUUACAGAAUUUGUGUUUGCAUGAAGCACAUCAAUGAUACAUGAAGUGUAUAUGAAUAUUAUUUUAUAUGUGUCUUCUCCAAUCUUUUUUAUUGUGUUAAAUUACCAUAUUAUUCCUUUGUAAAACCUAUUACAAUUAUAUCCAACUAUAAUAAUGUAGUAUAUUAUUAAAAGCAAUCCCAAAAAUGCAAUACUGUUUUAUAAAUUAUUUUUUCUUCUCUCAAAUUGUAUAAGAAUUUCACUGACUAAAAAAUUGCCUCCAUUUGCUUAAUUAUAUAUAUUUUUCUGUUCCUUUCAGCUUUCAGGCAUCAUAAAAUUGAACUAGAAAAUAUCAUUAUUUG